UACGUAGGGGGCGAGCGUUGUCCGGAUUUAUUGGGCGUAAAGAGCUCGUAGGCGGUUUGGCAAGUCGGGUGUGAAAACUCCGGGCUCAACUCGGAGACGCCACUCGAUACUGCCAUGACUCGAGUCCGGUAGGGGAGUGCGGAAUUCCUGGUGUAGCGGUGAAAUGCGCAGAUAUCAGGAGGAACACCGGUGGCGAAGGCGGCACUCUGGGCCGGUACUGACACUGAGGAGCGAAAGCGUGGGGAGCAAACAGG
rnacentral:rRNA from 1 species